GACGAACCGUGCGAACGUUGUUCGGAAUCACUGGGCUUAAAGGGCGCGUAGGCGGGCGCACAAGUCAGGGGUGAAAUCCCACGGCUCAACCGUGGAAGUGCCUUUGAUACUGUGGGCCUUGAGGGAGGUAGGGGCGUGCGGAACUUCCGGUGGAGCGGUGAAAUGCGUAGAUAUCGGAAGGAACACCGGUGGCGAAAGCGCACGACUGGACCUCUUCUGACGCUGAGGCGCGAAAGCCAGGGGAGCAAACGGG
rnacentral:rRNA from 1 species